rnacentral:lncRNA from 1 species
GACCGUAUGUUUCUUCUUCUAGUUCUAGUUCUAGUUGAACUGGCAUUGACUGCAAAAGAUGACGAAUCAAAUUCAAUUCUGAGGUCGACCUAACCUUCUCUAUCUCCAAUUCGAAAGGUAUUUGCCCAUCAAUGAAAUCCUCUCUAGAAUUCCACAAUUUUUCCCUCUCAAUUGUUAGUCUAUCUAGAAAUCCAUGAAGAAGCUUCCCAGCCGGAAGAGGAGGAGGAGGAGUAUUAUGGAGUUUGCGGGAAGAGAGAAUAGGGUUCCAUGAAAACGAUGUUUUGUGAAUGUUGUGCAUAUCAGAACUGAAAUAAUAGCUAAUAACCCGUAGUUUUUGAAGGGAAAAGGCGCGCAUCAUCUUUGAUCUGCACUGCAAGGAGUGAAGCAAGGUAG